AAACUAGCCGGGCGAGGUGGCGGGCGCCUGUAGUCACAGCUACUCGGGAGGCUGAGGCAGGAGAAUGGCACGAACCCGGGAGGCGGACCUUGCAGUGAGCUGAGAUCGGGCCACCGCACUCCAGCCUGGGUGGUGACAGAGCAAGACUCCGUCUCAAAAAAAAAAAAAAAAAAAAAAAAAAAAAAAAAAAAAAAAAAAAAAAAAAAAAAAAAAAAAAAAAUUAGCCGGGCUUGGCAGCAGGCGGUAGUCCCAGCUACUCAGAAGGCUCAGGCAGGAGAAUGGUGUGCACCGGAAAGGCAGAGCUUGCAGUGAGCCGAGAUCGCGCCACUGCACUCCAGCCUGGGGGAGAGAGUGAGACCCUGUCUCGAAAAAUAAAAAAAUAACUUGUGCACGCA
rnacentral:lncRNA from 1 species